CCUACGGGAGGCAGCAGUAGGGAAUCUUCCACAAUGGACGAAAGUCUGAUGGAGCAACGCCGCGUGAGUGAAGAAGGGUUUCGGCUUGUAAAGCUCUUUUGGUAGGGAAGAAAGAUAGAGGGAGUAACUGGGCUUUAGUUGACGGUAAUUACUUAGAAAGUCACGGCUAACUACGUGCCAGCAGCCGCCGUAAUGCGUAGGUGGCAAGCGUUGUCCGGAUUUAUUGGGCGUAAAGCGAGUGCAGGCGGUACAAUAAGGCUGAUGUGAAAGCCUUCGGCUCAACCGGGGACUUGCAUCUGAAACUGUUGAACUUGAGUGGAGAAGAGGAGAGUGGAACUCCAUGUGUAGCGGUGGAAUGCGUAGAUAUAUGGAAGAACACCAGUGGCGAAGGCGGCUCGCUGGUCUGCCACUGACGCUGAGGCUCGAAAGCAUGGGUAGCGAACAGGAUUAGAUACCCGGGUAGUC
rnacentral:rRNA from 1 species